UGGCUCUGGUUGAAUACACCCAGCUCUGUACCCCACAUAAGAGCAACUAGAACUGGGGGAGGGAAAGAAGGGAACUGGUGCAGGAGAAUUCAGGAAAGGAGAGUGGACGAGGUUCUCCUAGACUGUGCGGCAGACCUGCGCACAGGGUUUCCUGACCGCAGCACCCUGCCCCAUCCCAAGCGCCAACAACUCCUCCCACACUUUUGGGGACCACAAACCCGGCUCGAACACCCGGAGCUCUCUGUGCUGCCGCCUGGAGGACGUAGUGCAGACCUGCAGGCCCCAAGUGACCUCAGCAGGCCGGAAGAAAGCUUAGCCACAGGCCCAGGGCAAAGGGCCUGCCCCAUCAACCCGGUCCCAGGUACUCAGAGAAGAGGCAUGGCCGCCCCAAACCUCACUCCGAAGCCCAAAUCUGGGUUUAGUGUUUGUUGUGGCAGCUGUUUUUCACCCCAGCAGGACAGCGCAGGAGACCCGAUCCUCGAAGGCCAGUGACCCUGCUUGCUUCAGGCACUAAGGGUCUGCCUGAGGAGCUGUGCGGCAAGAUCCCAGCUUCUGGGAAAUGGGACAGGAUCCUUGUGGGGAGUGGUCUUUUCUCCUUGCUCCAUCUGUAGAGGUUCACAAAUCCCCAGAAAUCCAUAGACCCCGGCCAAGAACCUCCGAUUACACUGUGGAAUGAGAAAAGAAGAUCACCUUCCGCAACUGAGGCUUUAACUCCCAAAUCAUUUAAUC